rnacentral:rRNA from 1 species
UACGUAGGGGGCAAGCGUUGUCCGGAAUUAUUGGGCGUAAAGAGCGUGUAGGCGGCCAGAUAAGUCCGCUGUGAAAUCUCGAGGCUCAACUUCGAGCUGUCGGUGGAAACUGUCUGGCUAGAGUCCGGAAGGGGCGAGUGGAAUUCCUGGUGUAGCGGUGAAAUGCGCAGAUAUCAGGAGGAACACCAAUGGCGAAGGCAGCUCGCUGGAACGGUACUGACGCUGAGGCGCGAAAGCGUGGGGAGCGAACAGG